CAGUCGCCGCGGGAAUACGGAGGGCGCGAGCGUUACCCGGAUUUACUGGGCGUAAAGGGCGUGUAGGCGGCCUGGGGCGUCCCAUGUGAAAGGCCACGGCUCAACCGCGGAGGAGCGUGGGAUACGCUCAGGCUAGAGGGUGGGAGAGGGUGGUGGAAUUCCCGGAGUAGCGGUGAAAUGCGCAGAUACCGGGAGGAACGCCGAUGGCGAAGGCAGCCACCUGGUCCACUUCUGACGCUGAGGCGCGAAAGCGUGGGGAGCAAACCGGAUUAGAUACCCCCGUAGUCCCUGUCUCUUAUAC
rnacentral:rRNA from 1 species